AAUGAACGCUAGUGGCGUGUUUUAUACAUGCAAGUCGAGCGGAGAUUAGCCUGCGGUCGAAGGAGAUUUGUCCGUAGUCUCUACGGAUGAUAAUCUUUUGGCUAAAGGCUACUCUUAGCGGCGAACGGGUGAGUAACGCGUGGAUAAUCUACCCCUGAGGGAGGAAUAACAUUCUGAAAGGGAUGCUAAUGCCGCAUAAUGUUAUUCUACCUCGGUAGUAUAACCAAAGUUAGAAUCUUUGAUUCUUUCGCUCAGGGAUGAGUCCGCGUCCCAUUAGCUAGUUGGUGAGGUAAGGGCUCACCAAGGCGACGAUGGGUAGCCGGCCUGAGAGGGUGUCCGACCACACUGGGACUGAGACACGGCCCAGACUCCUACGGGAGGCAGCAGUAGGGAAUCCUCCGCAAUGGGCGAAAGCCUGACGGAGCGACGCCACGUGAACGAUGAAGGCCUUCGGGUCGUAAAGUUCUGUCAGAGGGGACGAUGGUUAAUCCUUGGAUUGACUGACGGUACCCUCAGAGGAAGCUCCGGCCAACUACGUGCCAGCAGCCGCGGUAAUACGUAGGGAGCAAGCGUUAUUCGGAUUUACUGGGCGUAAAGAGUGCGUAGGCGGUCAGGUAAGUCAAAGGUGAAAUCUCUGCUCUCAAGGCAGAAACUGCCUUUGAUACUGCUUGACUCGAGGACAGGAGAAGAGAAGUGGAACUCUGGAAGUAGCGGUGAAAUGCGUAGAUAUUCAGGGGAACGCCAGUGGCGAAAGCGGCUUCCUAGCCUGUCUCUGACGCUGAGGCACGAAAGCUAGGGUAGCGAUCGGGAUUAGAGACCCCGGUAGUCCUAGCCGUAAACGAUGGGUACUAAGUGUGGGGGGAGCAUUACUCCCCGUGCUGAAGCUAACGUGUUAGGUACCCCGCCUGGGGAGUACGUGUCGCAGGGCUGAAACUCAAAAGAAUUGACGGGGGGCUGAACCAAGCAGUGGAGCACGUGGUUUAAUUCGACGCAAAACGAAAGACCCUUACCAGGGCUUGACAUGCUAGUAGUAGUGACCUGAAAGGGAAGCGAUCCAGGCUUCGGCCUGGAAGCUAGCACAGGUGGUGCAUGGCUGUCGUCAGCUCGUGCCGUGAGGUGUUGGGUUAAGUCCCUUAACGAGCGCAACCCUUGCUUCUAGUUGCCAUCGGAUAAUGCCGGGCACUCUAGAGGGACCGCCGCCAGAAAGCGGAGGAAGGUGGGGAUGACGUCAAGUCAUCACGCCCCUUAUGUCCUGGGCUACACACGUGCUACAAUGGCCAUGACAGAGAGAAGCAAGGGAGCGAUCCUGAGCGAAUCUCCAAAAGUGGUCCCAGUCCGGAUUGCAGGCUGCAAUUCGCCUGCAUGAAGCUGGAAUUGCUAGUAAUCGCGGAUCAGCUAUGCCGCGGUGAAUACGUUCUCAGCCCUUGUACACACCGCCCGUCACACCACCUGAGUUGGUUGCACCCGAAGAUACCCGACCAACCGGCUUGCCGGAGGAAGAGUGUCCAAGGUGUAUCUGGCAAAGGGGGAAUGAAGUUCGUAACCAAGGUAACCCUUAAUUAU
rnacentral:rRNA from 1 species